CAGAAACUACAAGGAAGUUGACGGGGAGCACUACAACGGGUGGAGCCUGCGGUUUAAUUGGAUCAACGCCGGAAAUCUCACCGGGGCGACAGCAAUAUGAAGGUCAGGCUGAAGACCUUACCCGAUUAGCUGAGAGGUGGUGCAUGGCCGUCGUCAGUUCGUACUGUGAAGCAUCCUGUUAAGUCAGGCAACGAGCGAGACCCACGUCCACAGUUGCCAGCAUACCCUCCGGGGUGAUGGGUACACUGUGGAGACCGCCGCUGCUAAAGCGGAGGAAGGAGUGGGCAACGGUAGGUCAGUAUGCCCCGAAUCUCCCGGGCUACACGCGGGCUACAAUGGUUGGUACAAUGGGCAUCUACCCCGAAAGGGGAAGGAAAUCUCUUAAAGCCAAUCGUAGUUCGGAUUGAGGGCUGCAACUCGCCCUCAUGAAGCUGGAAUCCGUAGUAAUCGCGUUUCAACAGAACGCGGUGAAUACGUCCCUGCUCCUU
rnacentral:rRNA from 1 species